rnacentral:rRNA from 1 species
AAUAGAUACCCGGGUAGUCCACGCCGUAAACGAUGAGUGCUAAGUGUUAGAGGGUUUCCGCCCUUUAGUGCUGCAGCUAACGCAUUAAGCACUCCGCCUGGGGAGUACGGCCGCAAGGCUGAAACUCAAAGGAAUUGACGGGGGCCCGCACAAGCGGUGGAGCAUGUGGUUUAAUUCGAAGCAACGCGAAGAACCUUACCAGGUCUUGACAUCCUCUGCCAACCCUAGAGAUAGGGCGUUCCCCUUCGGGGGACAGAGUGACAGGUGGUGCAUGGUUGUCGUCAGCUCGUGUCGUGAGAUGUUGGGUUAAGUCCCGCAACGAGCGCAACCCUUGAUCUUAGUUGCCAGCAUUCAGUUGGGCACUCUAAGGUGACUGCCGGUGACAAACCGGAGGAAGGUGGGGAUGACGUCAAAUCAUCAUGCCCCUUAUGACCUGGGCUACACACGUGCUACAAUGGAUGGUACAAAGAGCUGCGAACCCGCGAGGGUAAGCCAAU